rnacentral:rRNA from 1 species
AUCUCACCGUACUAUACAUGCAAGUCGAGCGAACAGAAGGGAGCUUGCUCCCGGAUGUUAGCGGCGGACGGGUGAGUAACACGUGGGUAACCUGCCUGUAAGACUGGGAUAACUCCGGGAAACCGGAGCUAAUACCGGAUAGUUCCUUGAACCGCAUGGUUCAAGGAUGAAAGACGGUUUCGGCUGUCACUUACAGAUGGACCCGCGGCGCAUUAGCUAGUUGGUGGGGUAAUGGCUCACCAAGGCGACGAUGCGUAGCCGACCUGAGAGGGUGAUCGGCCACACUGGGACUGAGACACGGCCCAGACUCCUACGGGAGGCAGCAGUAGGGAAUCUUCCGCAAUGGACGAAAGUCUGACGGAGCAACGCCGCGUGAGUGAUGAAGGUUUUCGGAUCGUAAAGCUCUGUUGUUAGGGAAGAACAAGUGCGAGAGUAACUGCUCGCACCUUGACGGUACCUAACCAGAAAGCCACGGCUAACUACGUGCCAGCAGCCGCGGUAAUACGUAGGUGGCAAGCGUUGUCCGGAAUUAUUGGGCGUAAAGGGCUCGCAGGCGGUUUCUUAAGUCUGAUGUGAAAGCCCCCGGCUCAACCGGGGAGGGUCAUUGGAAACUGGGAAACUUGAGUGCAGAAGAGGAGAGUGGAAUUCCACGUGUAGCGGUGAAAUGCGUAGAGAUGUGGAGGAACACCAGUGGCGAAGGCGACUCUCUGGUCUGUAACUGACGCUGAGGAGCGAAAGCGUGGGGAGCGAACAGGAUUAGAUACCCUGGUAGUCCACGCCGUAAACGAUGAGUGCUAAGUGUUAUGGGGUUUCCGCCCCUUAGUGCUGCAGCUAACGCAUUAAGCACUCCGCCUGGGGAGUACGGUCGCAAGACUGAAACUCAAAGGAAUUGACGGGGGCCCGCACAAGCGGUGGAGCAUGUGGUUUAAUUCGAAGCAACGCUAGAACCUUACCAGGUCUUGACAUCCUCUGACACCCUAGAGAUAGGGCUUUCCCUUCGGGGACAGAGUGACAGGUGGUGCAUGGUUGUCGUCAGCUCGUGUCGUGAGAUGUUGGGUUAAGUCCCGCAACGAGCGCAACCCUUGAUCUUAGUUGCCAGCAUUUAGUUGGGCACUCUAAGGUGACUGCCGGUGACAAACCGGAGGAAGGUGGGGAUGACGUCAAAUCAUCAUGCCCCUUAUGACCUGGGCUACACACGUGCUACAAUGGACAGAACAAAGGGCUGCGAGACCGCAAGGUUUAGCCAAUCCCAUAAAUCUGUUCUCAGUUCGGAUCGCAGUCUGCAACUCGACUGCGUGAAGCUGGAAUCGCUAGUAAUCGCGGAUCAGCAUACCGCAGUAACUUAC